rnacentral:miRNA from 1 species
GUGGGGUAAUGGUGGAGUACA